GACGAACGCUGGCGGCGUGCCUAAUACAUGCAAGUUGAGCGCUGAAGGUUGGUACUUGUACCAACUGGAUGAGCAGCGCACGGGUGAGUAACGCGUGGGGAAUCUGCCUUUGAGCGGGGGACAACAUUUGGAAACGAAUGCUAAUACCGCAUAAAAACUUUAAACACAAGUUUUAAGUUUGAAAGAUGCAAUUGCAUCACUCAAAGAUGAUCCCGCGUUGUAUUAGCUAGUUGGUGAGGUAAAGGCUCACCAAGGCGAUGAUACAUAGCCGACCUGAGAGGGUGAUCGGCCACAGUGGGACUGAGACACGGCCCAAACUCCUACGGGAGGCAGCAGUAGGGAAUCUUCGGCAAUGGACGAAAGUCUGACCGAGCAACGCCGCGUGAGUGAAGAAGGUUUUCGGAUCGUAAAACUCUGUUGGUAGAGAAGAACGUUGGUGAGAGUGGAAAGCUCAUCAAGUGACGGUAACUACCCAGAAAGGGACGGCUAACUACGUG
rnacentral:rRNA from 1 species